AAUAGAUACCCUGGUAGUCCACGCCGUAAACGAUGUCGACUUGGAGGUUGUUCCCUUGAGGAGUGGCUUCCGGAGCUAACGCGUUAAGUCGACCGCCUGGGGAGUACGGCCGCAAGGUUAAAACUCAAAUGAAUUGACGGGGGGCCCGCACAAGCGGUGGAGCAUGUGGUUUAAUUCGAUGCAACGCGAAGAACCUUACCUACUCUUGACAUCCAGAGAACUUAGCAGAGAUGCUUUGGUGCCUUCGGGAACUCUGAGACAGGUGCUGCAUGGCUGUCGUCAGCUCGUGUUGUGAAAUGUUGGGUUAAGUCCCGCAACGAGCGCAACCCUUAUCCUUUGUUGCCAGCGGUCCGGCCGGGAACUCAAAGGAGACUGCCAGUGAUAAACUGGAGGAAGGUGGGGAUGACGUCAAGUCAUCAUGGCCCUUACGAGUAGGGCUACACACGUGCUACAAUGGCGCAUACAAAGAGAAGCGACCUCGCGAGAGCAAGCGGACCUCAUAAAGUGCGUCGUAGUCCGGA
rnacentral:rRNA from 1 species